rnacentral:rRNA from 1 species
GAUGAACGCUGGCGGCGUGCCUAAUACAUGCAAGUCGAGCGAACAGACGAGGAGCUUGCUCCUCUGACGUUAGCGGCGGACGGGUGAGUAACACGUGGAUAACCUACCUAUAAGACUGGGAUAACUUCGGGAAACCGGAGCUAAUACCGGAUAAUAUAUUGAACCGCAUGGUUCAAUAGCGAAAGACGGUUUUGCUGUCACUUAUAGAUGGAUCCGCGCCGCAUUAGCUAGUUGGUAAGGUAACGGCUUACCAAGGCAACGAUGCGUAGCCGACCUGAGAGGGUGAUCGGCCACACUGGAACUGAGACACGGUCCAGACUCCUACGGGAGGCAGCAGUAGGGAAUCUUCCGCAAUGGGCGAAAGCCUGACGGAGCAACGCCGCGUGAGUGAUGAAGGUCUUCGGAUCGUAAAACUCUGUUAUUAGGGAAGAACAAAUGUGUAAGUAACUAUGCACGUCUUGACGGUACCUAAUCAGAAAGCCACGGCUAACUGCGUG